GAUGAACGCUAGCUACAGGCUUAACACAUGCAAGUCGAGGGGCAUCAUGACUGAGGUUUACCUUAGUUGAUGGCGACCGGCGAAUGGGUGAGUAACACGUAUCCAACCUGCCCGUUACUGGAGGAUAGCCCUCCGAAAGGAGAAUUAAUACUCCAUGUUGUGCUGAAUUCGCAUGUUUUCGGCACUAAAGAUUCAUCGGUAACGGAUGGGGAUGCGUCCGAUUAGGUAGUAGGCGGGGUAACGGCCCACCUAGCCUUCGAUCGGUAGGGGUUCUGAGAGGAAGGUCCCCCACAUUGGAACUGAGACACGGUCCAAACUCCUACGGGAGGCAGCAGUGAGGAAUAUUGGUCAAUGGGCGAGAGCCUGAACCAGCCAAGUAGCGUGCAGGAAGACGGCCCUAUGGGUUGUAAACUGCUUUUAUAGGGGAAUAAAGUGAGCCACGUGUGGUUUUUUGCAUGUACCCUAUGAAUAAGGACCGGCUAAUUCCGUG
rnacentral:rRNA from 1 species